rnacentral:rRNA from 1 species
UUGAACGCUGGCGGCAGGCCUAACACAUGCAAGUCGAGCGGAUGAAGGGAGCUUGCUCCUGGAUUCAGCGGCGGACGGGUGAGUAAUGCCUAGGAAUCUGCCUGGUAGUGGGGGAUAACGUCCGGAAACGGGCGCUAAUACCGCAUACGUCCUGAGGGAGAAAGUGGGGGAUCUUCGGACCUCACGCUAUCAGAUGAGCCUAGGUCGGAUUAGCUAGUUGGUGGGGUAAAGGCCUACCAAGGCGACGAUCCGUAACUGGUCUGAGAGGAUGAUCAGUCACACUGGAACUGAGACACGGUCCAGACUCCUACGGGAGGCAGCAGUGGGGAAUAUUGGACAAUGGGCGAAAGCCUGAUCCAGCCAUGCCGCGUGUGUGAAGAAGGUCUUCGGAUUGUAAAGCACUUUAAGUUGGGAGGAAGGGCAGUAAGUUAAUACCUUGCUGUUUUGACGUUACCAACAGAAUAAGCACCGGCUGACUUCGUG